UAAUACGUAGGUGGCAAGCGUUAUCCGGAUUUAUUGGGCGUAAAGAGGGCGUAGGCGGUCUUUCAAGUCGGAUGUAAAAUCUCCCGGCUCAACUGGGAGCAAUCAUUCGAUACUGUUAGGCUAGAGGGCAGCAGAAGGAGGUGGAAUUCCCGGUGGAGUGGUGAAAUGCGUAGAUAUCGGGAGGAACACCAGUGGCGAAAGCGGCCUCCUAGGCUGUUUCUGACGCUGAGGCCCGAAAGCAUGGGGAGCGAACAGGAUUAGAUACCCUGGUAGUCCAUGCCAUAAACUAUGGACACUAGGUAUAGGGAGUACCGACCCUCUCUGUGCCGGAGCUAACGCGUUAAGUGUCCCGCCUGGGGAGUACGACCGCAAGGUUA
rnacentral:rRNA from 1 species